GGAGGCGGAGAGUGAAAAUGGCGGUCUCCCAAUCUCCACCCCGGAGGAGCCGAGAACUCGGGCCCCGCUCCUCAGUGAGCCCCCAGAGAAAAGCCGUCAGUCACUCUCGUCUCCCCGGUCUGCAGCUGCACUCCGUGCUCAACCGGCCUGUGACCGCACGUUUCUGUCUCUGGCACCCAACCCUGGGUGGAGUCUCCAAACCCAGCAGAUCCCUGCGGUGCACUCCCGCGCGGCUCCUCCCGGGGGAGGAAGUGAUUAUUGAGAUUCUUCAUUAUGAAAUCAACCUCUACACUCUAUUUUGAUGGCCUGGAAUGUGACCACUGUUUUGCUAUAACGUUAGGUUCUGCUACUUUCUUUCCACUUCCAUGGGGCACCUGAAGUUCAAGAGCUGAGCUGAGAUGGAGUCCACUGCUUAACCAACUAAGCCCCCCAGGUGUACAACCAUCUUUUAAGAAUCUUUGCCUAACUGGUCAAUCGGGCAUCUGGAAUAUCCUUCCAUGAUGCUAGAAUGAUAGAUAAAAUGAUACCUUCUAUGCCAUCCAGAAUGUUGAAUGAAAUCUGUUCUUGAAUCCAAAGAGGUAUACUCUAAUGGUGAGCUUCCUAACACUAUGUUUAAAAGUGGGAAGACAAAUGUUACAUAUCCUGUAAAAUCUUCCAAAUCUGUG